rnacentral:rRNA from 1 species
ACGGGAGGCAGCAGUGGGGAAUAUUGGACAAUGGGGGAAACCCUGAUCCAGCGACGCCGCGUGAGUGAAGAAGUAUUUCGGUAUGUAAAGCUCUAUCAGCAAGGAAGAAAAUGACGGUACUUGACUAAGAGGCCCCGGCUAACUACGUGCCAGCAGCCGCGGUAAUACGUAGGGGGCAAGCGUUAUCCGGAUUUACUGGGUGUAAAGGGAGCGUAGACGGCAUAGCAAGUCUGAAGUGAAAUGCAUGGGCUCAACCCAUGAACUGCUUUGGAAACUGUUAAGCUAGAGUGCAGGAGAGGUAAGUGGAAUUCCUAGUGUAGCGGUGAAAUGCGUAGAUAUUAGGAGGAACACCAGUGGCGAAGGCGGCUUACUGGACUGUAACUGACGUUGAGGCUCGAAAGCGUGGGGAGCAAACAGGAUUAGAUACCCUGGUA